rnacentral:rRNA from 2 species
UACGUAUGGAGCGAGCGUUGUCCGGAAUUAUUGGGCGUAAAGGGUGCGCAGGCGGCUUUACAAGUUGGAUGUGAAAUAUUGUGGCUCAACCACAAACGUGCAUCCAAAACUGCAAAGCUUGAGUUAAGGAGAGGUAAGUGGAAUUCCUGGUGUAGCGGUGGAAUGCGUAGAUAUCAGGAGGAAUACCGGUGGCGAAGGCGACUUACUGGACUUAAACUGACGCUCAGGCACGAAAGCGUGGGGAGCAAAC